rnacentral:rRNA from 1 species
ACGAACGCUGGCGGCUGCUUAACACAUGCAAGUCGAACGGAGUGGCGAACGGGUGAGAAACGCGUGAGUAACCUGCCUAUGACAGUGGGAUAGCCUCGGGAAACCGGGAUUAAUACCGCAUAGUCUUAGUUGGGCUCGCGUCGGAGUAGCUGGUUGGGGAGAUAACAGCCCGUCAAGGCGACGAUCAGGAGCCGGUCUGAGAGGAUGCACGGACACAUUGGAGCUGAGACACGGGCCCAACUCCUACGGGUGGUAGCAGUGGGGAAUAUUGCACAAUGGGGGAAACCCUGAUGCAGCUACGCGGCGUGAACUAAGAAGGUAUUCGUAUCGUAAAGUUCUGUCCUAUGGGAAGCAGUACCAUAGAAGAAAGCUCCGGCUAAAUACGUGCCAGCAGCCGCGGUAAUUC